ensembl:misc_RNA Metazoa_SRP Metazoan signal recognition particle RNA
GCUGGGCAUAUUGGUAUAUGCCUGUGGUCCCAGGUACUAGGGAGGCUGAGGUGGGAGGAUCACUUGAGCCCAGGAGGUUGAGGCUGCAGUGAGCUGAGAUCAUGUUACUGCACUCUAGCCUGAGUGACAGAGCAAGACACUGUCUCGAAAAUAUAUAUAUUUAUUGUCAUUUUGAGAUAGGGUCUCAUUCUGUUGCCUAGGCUGGGGUGCAGCAGGGUGAUUAUAGCUCAUUGCAGCCUCAAAGUCCUGGGCUCAAGUGAUCCUCCCACCUCAG